rfam:Coprobacillus sp. 29_1 genomic scaffold supercont1.12, whole genome shotgun sequence.
UUGUCACGCCAGUGGCACAGCUGGGUAGCUAAGUCUGGAAGGGAUAAACGCUGAAGGCAUCUAAGUGUGAAGCCCCCUCCAAGAUGAGACUUCCCAUUCUUCGGAAGUAAGACCCCUCAAAGACGAUGAGGUUGAUAGGUCAGAGGUGUAAGCGCAGCGAUGUGCGAAGCUGACUGAUACUAAUAGGUCGAGGACUUAACCAG